rnacentral:rRNA from 1 species
AUUGAACGCUGGCGGCAUGCCUUACACAUGCAAGUCGAACGGCAGCACGGGAGCAAUCCUGGUGGCGAGUGGCGAACGGGUGAGUAAUAUAUCGGAACGUGCCCAGUCGUGGGGGAUAACGCAGCGAAAGCUGUGCUAAUACCGCAUACGAUCUAAGGAUGAAGGCGGGGGAUCGCAAGACCUCGCGCGAUUGGAGCGGCCGAUAUCAGAUUAGCUAGUUGGUGAGGUAAAGGCUCACCAAGCCGACGAUCUGUAGCUGGUCUGAGAGGACGACCAGCCACACUGGGACUGAGACACGGCCCAGACUCCUACGGGAGGCAGCAGUGGGGAAUUUUGGACAAUGGGCGCAAGCCUGAUCCAGCGAUGCCGCGUGCAGGAUGAAGGCCUUCGGGUUGUAAACUGCUUUUGUACGGAGCGAAACGGCUUCCACUAAUACUGGGGGCUAAUGACGGUACCGUAAGAAUAAGCACCGGCUAACUACGUGCCAGCAGCCGCGGUAAAAC